AGGCAACACACUCCAUCUGGGAUGAUUUCGUCAGAAAGUUCUGGAAAGCAAGGCAGGCGUGCAAAUAGCCAGGGGAGUGACACAAAGAAGGACAGACGAAAAACUUGUGGCACAAUGGUGAUUUUCUCAUCUAUAUCUAAAUAAUGAAGAAAAACUGAAGCAAAUUCCUCCUCAACUCUGAGUUCGGCAAGUGACGUCAAGUCAGCAUGGCUGCUCACAGCAUGAACAGUAAACACAGCAGCACUUCUUACCUUUAAAUGAUUUAUACUGGAUAUACAAGUAUUUGCUGUGGAGAAAUCAACAUACAAACAUAUUAUUUUUAUUUUAUUUUCCUAAAUUUUUAUAUUUCUAUAUUUAUGCUCAUAGUUGUUUGCCUUAUUAAUAUUCUUUUUAUUUCUUGUAUUUUUACUGUUAUACUAUGCACCAGUACACCAAGACAAAUUCCUUGUACAUGUAAACCCAGGAUACAUGGCAAUAAAAGUGAUUCUGAUUCUGA